CUGGAAUGCCGAAGAGAUUUGGCAGUGCUCGCAAGAGAACCGGAACACAGGUGCUGCAUGGCUGUCGUCAGCUCGUGUCGUGAGAUGUUGGGUUAAGUCCCGCAACGAGCGCAACCCUUGUCAUUAGUUGCUACGAAAGGGCACUCUAAUGAGACUGCCGGUGACAAACCGGAGGAAGGUGGGGAUGACGUCAAGUCCUCAUGGCCCUUAUGGGUAGGGCUUCACACGUCAUACAAUGGUCGGGACAGAGGGUCGCCAACCCGCGAGGGGGAGCCAAUCCCAGAAACCCGAUCGUAGUCCGGAUUGCAGGCUGCAACUCGCCUGCAUGAAGUCGGAAUCGCUAGUAAUCGCGGAUCAGCAUGUCGCGGUGAAUACGUUCCCGGGUCUUGUACACACCGCCCGUCACACCAUGGGAGUGGGUUUUACCAGAAGUAGUUAGCCUAACCGCAAGGAGGGCGAUUACCACGGUAGGAUUCAUGACUGGGGUGAAGUCGUAACAAGGUAAGCGUAGUGCU
rnacentral:rRNA from 1 species